rnacentral:snRNA from 1 species
GGAUGUGAGGAUGAUCUGCUUGUGGCAUCUGUCAUCUUUGCGAUUGCCAGGGUUGAUUUGGCUGAUAGGACUGGCGAGGCAGCUGUCCCCUUCCUUCCUCACUACUUCCUGUGACUCAUGCAAUAUUUUUAAAUACUACACAUAUUAUCGUAUUUUUAGGUAAGUCUGCCAUAAGGCAUUGAUAUAUUUAAU